rnacentral:rRNA from 1 species
UACGUAGGGUGCGAGCGUUGUCCGGAAUAUUGGGCGUAAAGGGCUCGUAGGCGGUUUGUCGCGUCGGGAGUGAAAACUCAGGGCUUAACCCUGAGCCUGCUUCCGAUACGGGCAGACUAGAGGUAUGCAGGGGGAGAACGGAAUUCCUGGUGUAGCGGUGAAAUGCGCAGAUAUCAGGAGGAACACCGGUGGCGAAGGCGGGUCUCUGGGCCGAUACUGACGCUGAGGAGCGAAAGCGUGGGGAGCGAACAGG